UACGAAGGGGGCUAGCGUUGCUCGGAAUUACUGGGCGUAAAGGGCGCGUAGGCGGCACUGUUAGUCAGGCGUGAAAGUCCUGGGCUCAACCUGGGAACUGCGCUUGAUACGGCAGAGCUAGAGGAUGGAAGAGGCUCGCGGAAUUCCCAGUGUAGAGGUGAAAUUCGUAGAUAUCGGGAGGAACACCAGUGGCGAAGGCGGCGACCUGGGCCAAUAUUGACGCUGAGGUGCGAAAGCGUGGGGAGCAAACAGGG
rnacentral:rRNA from 1 species